UGCCUGAUGGAGGGGGAUAACUACUGGAAACGGUAGCUAAUACCGCAUAACGUCGCAAGACCAAAGAGGGGGACCUUCGGGCCUCUUGCCAUCGGAUGUGCCCAGAUGGGAUUAGCUAGUAGGUGGGGUAACGGCUCACCUAGGCGACGAUCCCUAGCUGGUCUGAAAGGAUGACCAGCCACACUGGAACUGAAACACGGUCCAGACUCCUACGGGAGGCAGCAGUGGGGAAUAUUGCACAAUGGGCGCAAGCCUGAUGCAGCCAUGCCGCGUGUAUGAAGAAGGCCUUCGGGUUGUAAAGUACUUUCAGCGGGGAGGAAGGGAGUAAAGUUAAUACCUUUGCUCAUUGACGUUACCCGCAGAAGAAGCACCGGCUAACUCCGUGCCAGCAGCCGCGGUAAUACGGAGGGUGCAAGCGUUAAUCGGAAUUACUGGGCGUAAAGCGCACGCAGGCGGUUUGUUAAGUCAGAUGUGAAAUCCCCGGG
rnacentral:rRNA from 1 species